rnacentral:rRNA from 1 species
GGGCCCGCACAAGCAGUGGAGUAUGUGGUUUAAUUCGAAGCAACGCGAAGAACCUUACCAGGCCUUGACAUCCGCAGAAUCCCUCAGAGAUGAGGGAGUGCCUUUCGGGGAACUGCGAGACAGGUGGUGCAUGGUUGUCGUCAGCUCGUGUCGUGAGAUGUUGGGUUAAGUCCCGCAACGAGCGCAACCCUUGUCAAUAGUUGCUACGCAAGAGCACUCUAUUGAGACUGCCGUUGACAAAACGGAGGAAGGUGGGGAUGACGUCAAAUCAUCAUGCCCCUUAUGGCCUGGGCGACACACGUACUACAAUGGCCGUUAACAGAGGGAGGCAAGACCGCGAGGUGGAGCAAACCCCUAAAAACGGUCUCAGUUCGGAUUGCAGGCUGCAACCCGCCUGCAUGAAGCUGGAAUUGCUAGUAAUCGCGGAUCAGCAUGCCGCGGUGAAUACGUUCCCGGGCCUU